UCCUACGGGGCGCAGCAGUGAGGAAUACUGGUCAAUGGCCGGAAGGCUGAACCAGCCAAGCCGCGUGAAGGACGAAGGUGCUAAGCAUUGUAAACUUCUUUUGUCAAGGGACAAAAUCAGGCUCGAGAGCCUGACCGAGGGUACUUGAAGAAAAAGCAUCGGCUAACUCCGUGCCAGCAGCCGCGGUAAUACGGAGGAUGCGAGCGUUAUCCGGAUUUAUUGGGUUUAAAGGGUGCGUAGGCGGACUGUUAAGUCAGCGGUAAAAGCCCGGGGCUCAACCCCGGCGUGCCGUUGAAACGG
rnacentral:rRNA from 1 species